rnacentral:lncRNA from 1 species
UUAUGCAAUCUCCUCCUCCAACAAAGGAAAGUCUCUGCUCAAACAAAGAUGGCCUGUGAAAUUCCAAGGAAUCCGAGGAGAAGCCUAUUUCCCACGCUCCUCCACAAAGCAAAUCAAUGCGAGAAAUCCAACAAUCUACAGAUAAAAGGAAAACUCGGAAUUAGAUGCUUAGAGGCUAAAACUUCUAAAAAUAGAAAUCAGGUCUUAAACAGUUAAAAAUCCAAUCUUUCGACCUUUUUAACCAAUCAAGAUCCAAAAUACUUUCAAUACCUAUCUAAUCAAACAGGCAAUAACUAUCAAAACUACAGAGUUUCUACUACAAUAUUUCGGAUUUCAGCAGCAAAAGGCCCAAAAAAAAAAGCUUACUGACCAACCAAAUGAUUGUGGAGACAGCCAAAACCUAAACUAAAUCCGUCAAAUCUCCUGUUGCUAAUUUCACAAAUCAUUUAGAAUCAUACCAUAAAAAAAAUGUCCUUAAAUUUCUACAACGCUCCUCCUUUCCUUUUUCUUUUUUGAUAAAAACAACGCUCCUCCACAAAGCAAAUCAAUGCGAGAAAUCCAACAAUCUACAGAUAAAAGGAAAACUCGGAAUUAGAUGCUUAGAGGCUAAAACUUCUAAAAAUAGAAAUCAUAAGCAACGAAUCGGACUCCAGAUACCUU